UUUAUACUCCCUCCCUCCAGAAAUACUUGUCAGAGAAAUGGAUGUAUCUAGACAUAUUUUAAUUCUAGAUACAUCUAGUUUUAUCCAUUUCCAUGACAAGUAAUUCCGGAUGGAGGGAGUAUUUU
rfam:Triticum aestivum genome assembly, contig: Triticum_aestivum_CS42_TGACv1_scaffold_641782_T_6DL-0.273975_5DL-0.211229